rfam:Triticum urartu cultivar G1812 contig183860, whole genome shotgun sequence.
UUACUACUCCCUCCGUCCCAAAAUUCUUGUCUUAGAUUUGUCUUGAUACAGAUGUAUGUAAUACUAAAACGUGACUUGAUACAUCCGUAUUUAGACAAAUCUAAGACAAGAAUUUUGGGACAGAGGGAGUAGAUG